rnacentral:rRNA from 1 species
ACGAACGCUGGCGGCGUGCUUAACACCUGCAAGUCGAACGGAAAGGCCCUGCUUGCCGGGUGCUCGAGUGGCGAACGGGUGAGUAACACGUGGGUGAUCUGCCCCUUACUUUGGGAUAAGCCUGGGAAGCUGGGUCUAAUACUGGAUAGGACCAUGCUGUAGGUGGUGUGGUGGAAAGAUUAGUUUCGGUAAGGGAUGAGCUCGCGGCCUAUCAGCUUGUUGGUGGGGUAAUGGCCUACCAAGGCGUCGACGGGUAGCCGGCCUGAGAGGGUGGACGGCCACAUUGGGACUGAGAUACGGCCCAGACUCCUACGGGAGGCAGCAGUGGGGAAUAUUGCACAAUGGGCGCAAGCCUGAUGCAGCGACGCCGCGUGGGGGAUGACGGCCUUCGGGUUGUAAACUCCUUUCAGCCAUGACGAAGCCCUUGUGGUGACGGUAGUGGUAGAAGAAGCACCGGCUAACUACGUG